AGACCGGCUUAUUGGUCGUGCUAUUGUACGUACUGGUAUAAUCGGUUUCUCCUUUCUGACGAACUUUAAUGCCAUUAAUUUGGUGUUUUAGGGAAUCAGGACUGUUACUUUGAAAAAAUUAGAGUGUUUAAAGCAGGCUCACGCUUGAAUACAUUAGCAUGGAAUAACGGAAUAGGACGUUUGAUUCUAUUUUGUUGGUUUCUAGGAUCGACGUA
rnacentral:rRNA from 1 species